UAGGGAAUCUUCGGCAAUGGGGGGAACCCUGACCGAGCAACGCCGCGUGAGUGAAGAAGGUUUUCGGAUCGUAAAGCUCUGUUGUUAAGGAAGAACGAGUGUGAGAAUGGAAAGUUCAUGCUGUGACGGUACUUAACCAGAAAGGGACGGCUAACUACGUGCCAGCAGCCGCGGUAAUACGUAGGUCCCGAGCGUUGUCCGGAUUUAUUGGGCGUAAAGCGAGCGCAGGCGGUUAGAAAAGUCUGAAGUGAAAGGCAGUGGCUCAACCAUUGUAGGCUUUGGAAACUGUUUAACUUGAGUGCAGAAGGGGAGAGUGGAAUUCCAUGUGUAGCGGUGAAAUGCGUAGAUAUAUGGAGGAACACCGGUGGCGAAAGCGGCUCUCUGGUCUGUAACUGACGCUGAAGCUCGAAAGCGUGGGGAGCGAACAGG
rnacentral:rRNA from 1 species